rnacentral:rRNA from 1 species
UUGGAGGGCAAGUCUGGUGCCAGCAGCCGCGGUAAUUCCAGCUCCAAUAGCGUAUAUUAAAGUUGUUGCAGUUAAAAAGCUCGUAGUUGAAUUUCGGGAUCAAUUUAUCGGUCGUGCCUACGGUAUGAACUGGUACAAUUGGUUUCUCCCUUCUGACGAAGCAUGAUGUCAUUAAUUUGGUGUCGUGGGGAAUCAGGACUGUUACUUUGAAAAAAUUAGAGUGUUUAAAGCAAGCAUUAGCUUGAAUACAUUAGCAUGGAAUAAUGAAAUAGGACGCUUGAUCCUAUUUCGUUGGUUUCUAGGAUCGACGUAAUGAUUAAUAGGGAUAGUUGGGGGCAUUAGUAUUCAAUUGUCAGAGGUGAAAUUCUUGGAUUUAUUGAAGACUAACUACUGCGAAAGCAUUUGCCAAGGAUGUUUUCAUUAAUCAAGAACGAAAGUUAGGGGAUCGAAGACGAUCAGAUACCGUCGUAGUCUUAACCAUAAACUAUGCCGACUAGGGAUCGGAUGAUGUUAAUUUUUUAAUGACUCAUUCGGCGCCUUACGGGAAAC